GGCCUGGUGGUCUAGUAGUAUGAUUCCUUCUUAGGGCUGUUGGUCAUCUGGAGGAGGUCCCGGGUUCAAUUCCCGGCCAGGCCC